GGAGGGGUGCAAGCGUUGUUCGGAAUUAUUGGGCGUAAAGAGCGUGUAGGGCGGUUCGGGUAAGUCAGAUGUGAAAGCCCUGGGCUCAACCCAGGAAGUGCAUUUGAAACUACCAGACUUGAGUACGGGAGAGGAGGGGGGAAUUCCCGGUGUAGAGGUGAAAUUCGUAGAUAUCGGGAGGAAUACCAGUGGCGAAGGCGCCCCUCUGGACCGAUACUGACGCUGAGACGCGAAAGCGUGGGGAGCAAACAGGAUUAGAUACCCUGGUAGUCCACGCCGUAAACGAUGAGCACUAGGUGUAGCGGGUAUUGACCCCUGCUGUGCCGUAGCUAACGCAUUAAGUGCUCCGCCUGGGGGCUACGGUCGCAAGACUA
rnacentral:rRNA from 1 species